rnacentral:misc_RNA from 1 species
UCCCCGCUUUACGGGGCAGUCUCGCCAGAGAAUAUAACUGGCAACAGGGGUUGCGUUCGUUACCCCACUGAAGGGAACGGUUCAAACCACGAACUGACGACAGCCAUGCAUCACCUGUCCUACACCCUCGAAGGCUUCCUCGGUUUCCCGAGGCGUGCAGUAGGAUUUCUAGCCCUGGUAAGGUUCUUCGCUUAGCGACGAAUUGAGCCACACGCUCCACCACUUGUGCAAGCCCCCGUCUAUUCCUUUGAGUUUUAGCCUUGCGGCCGUACUCCCCAGGCGGGAUGCUUAACGCGUUAGCUACGACACCUCCGGGGUCAAUACCGGAAACAUCUAGCAUCCAUCGUUUACGGCGUGGACUAC